rnacentral:miRNA from 1 species
UAGGUUGGUGCAAAAGUAAUUGCAGUUUUUGCCAUUUUAAAAAUAGUAAAAACCACAAUUACUUUAGUACCCAACCUAAUA